CUGCGAGUGAAGCGGCAAAAGCUCAAAUUUGAAAUCUGACCGUCUUCGUUUUGUGGGACAGUCCGAGUUGUAAUUUGGAGGAGCGUUUUCAGGAAUCCUUGGCACCGUCCCAAGUUCCGUGGAACCGGACGUCACAGAGGGUGAGAAUCCCGUGCAUGGGCGGUAGCUAGUUUUCCGUGUGAUGCGCUUCCGACGAGUCGAGUUGUUUGGGAAUGCAGCUCAAAAUGGGUGGUAAAUUUCAUCUAAAGCUAAAUACUGGCGAGAGACCGAUAGCGCACAAGUAGAGUGAUCGAAAGAUGAAAAGCACUUUGAAAAGAGAGUUAAAAAGUACGUGAAAUUGUUGAAAGGGAAGCGCUUGAGAUCAAACUCGGUCUUUGGUGAAGCCGCGAGCCUUUGUUGCUUGUGACCUCUUGCCAUGGACUGGGCCAGCAUCGGUUCCGACGGUGGGAAAAAUGGCUUUGGAAUGUGGCUCGUUCUUAGAAGGAGUGUUUAUAGACUCAGCCAAAUACCGCCAGACGGGACCGAGGACCGCGCUUCGGCUAGGAUGCUGGCGUAAUGGUCUUAAGCGACCCGUCUUGAAACACGGACCAAGGAGUCUAACAUCUAUGCGAGUGUUCGGGUGGAAAACCCUUGCGCGUAAUGAAAGUGAACGGAGGUGGGAACCGAAAGGGGCACCAUCGACCGAUCCUGAUGUCAUCGGAAGGAUUUGAGUAUGAGCAUAGCUGUUGGGACCCGAAAGAUGGUGAACUAUGCCUGAAUAGGGUGAAGCCAGAGGAAACUCUGGUGGA
rnacentral:rRNA from 1 species